CUUGGAGGAAGAGAGGGUGAGGGGAAUACAGUAUUGGGGAUGGCAUCGUCGAGCCCUGACUCCCCAUGUUCCUGCGACUGCUUUGUCUCCGUGCCCCCGGCCUCAGCCAUCCCGGCUGUGAUCUUUGCCAAGAACUCGGACCGACCCCGGGACGAGGUGCAGGAGGUGGUGUUUGUCCCCGCAGGCACUCACACUCCUGGGAGCCGGCUCCAGUGCACCUACAUUGAAGUGGAACAGGUGUCGAAGACGCACGCUGUGAUUCUGAGCCGUCCUUCUUGGCUAUGGGGGGCUGAGAUGGGCGCCAACGAGCAUGGUGUCUGCAUUGGCAACGAGGCUGUGUGGACGAAGGAGCCAGUUGGGGAGGGGGAAGCCCUGCUGGGCAUGGACCUACUCAGGUGCAGACCCUGCCCUUCCUCAUCUGCCUGACACACCAGAAAUCUGGGGGCUGAGUUUUGACCUGGGCCCAUCCAUCCCUCCCCCAGCCUGGUUCACAGGGGCCUCCUCCUCUCUGCAGACUUUGCCCUUGUGCCUUCGUGAGGAAGGCUGCAGCAGCAGCCACCUUUGGGCCUCUCCUGGCCCAGAAAUAGAGCAGUGGUUAUUUAUUUUCAGUUGAAAUCUCACGUAGAGUCCCGAUUUAUAAAGCCAGUAAUAGUGGAUGGAGCAGCUCUGGGUGGAGAGAGGUUGGGGGCUCAGGACACUUCUCUCUCUGAAACUGUGUUUCAGGCCUUUUCAUGGAAUCCUCAAAGCAUAGCACAUGGAACCAGAGCAUUGAAAGCCAGUGGCAUAAUUGCGUUUGAUACGAUCAGUGCCAGCAGAUUUGCUGUGUGACUUGGGCCUAUCACCAAACCUCUCCGGGCCUCUUCUGUCCCCUGGAACUUCUGCCACCAGUCAUUGAUCCCUCUGUCACC
rnacentral:sRNA from 1 species